rnacentral:rRNA from 1 species
CCUACGGGUGGCAGCAGUCGAGAAUCAUUCACAAUGGGGGAAACCCUGAUGGUGCGACGCCGCGUGGGGGAAUGAAGGUCUUCGGAUUGUAAACCCCUGUCAUGUGGGAGCAAAUUAAAAAGAUAGUACCACAAGAGGAAGAGACGGCUAACUCUGUGCCAGCAGCCGCGGUAAUACAGAGGUCUCAAGCGUUGUUCGGAAUCACUGGGCGUAAAGCGGGCGUAGGCUGUUUCGUAAGUCGUGUGUGAAAGGCGCGGGCUCAACCCGCGGACGGCACAUGAUACUGCGAGACUAGAGUAAGGGAGGGGGAACCGGAAUUCUCGGUGUAGCAGUGAAAUGCGUAGAUAUCGAGAGGAACACUCGUGGCGAAGGCGGGUUCCUGGACAUUAACUGACGCUGAGGCACGAAGGCCAGGGGAGCGAAAGGGAUUAGAUACCCCUGUAGUC